rnacentral:lncRNA from 1 species
UAUUCAUGAUGAAAAGGGUGAUUUCAGAGAAAUCUAAACAUCCUUGAAUGAAUUGACGCAGAGCUAAGGCAGAGAGAUUCCUCACUCAACAACUCACGAGUUGUUGAGUCACAAGUACCCAACAGGUUCAUCAAAUUCCAUUAUUGAGUUGGAAGGGACUUCAGAAGAAGGAAGUCAGCAGGCAUCUAUCAGAUUUUGACCUUGAAGAGAAAUCCACCUGGCCUUCGGAUAGAUGUACUUCUGGAUCCACAUGCAGACCUCAUUUUUGUCCUAAAGGUUGAUUGUCUCUUAUCAGUCUUGAUCCUGGCAAAUGCUUAUGUGGGAU